rnacentral:rRNA from 1 species
CCUACGGGAGGCAGCAGUGAGGAAUAUUGGUCAAUGUACGCAAGGCUGAACCAGCCAUGCCGCGUGCAGGAAGACGGCUCUAUGAGUUGUAAACUUCUUUUGUACGAGGGUAAACGCAGAUACGCGUAUCUGUCUGAAAGUAUCGUACGAAUAAGGAUCGGCUAACUCCGUGCCAGCAGCCGCGGUAAUACGGAGGAUUCAAGCGUUAUCCGGAUUUAUUGGGUUUAAAGGGUGCGUAGGCGGUCGGAUAAGUUAGAGGUGAAAUCCCGAGGCUCAACUUCGGAAUUGCCUCUGAUACUGGUCGGCUAGAGAGUAGUUGAGGUAGGCGGAAUGUAUGGUGUAGCGGUGAAAUGCUUAGAGAUUAUACAGAACACCGAUUGCGAAGGCAGCUUACCAAGCUACUUCUGACGUUGAGGCACGAAAGCGUGGGGAGCAAACAGGAUUAGAUACCCCUGUAGUC